rnacentral:lncRNA from 1 species
UUUCAGGUGCUGCUGAAGAAAUUUUUUAUGUCUUUAGUCUGUACCUCAGCACCUUCUUCAUGGAAAGUUAUAUAAACUUGGUCUUUUAAUUGUGUCAGAGAGGUCUUGCAUGGUCUGUUCAUAAGUGUGUUCUUAAGUUCUUAUUCUUUUAUCUUUAUUAUAGGCUUAAUGUUUCACUUCAUCAGUGUUGUCUUCAGUUCCUUAAAAUGAUUUCUUCUACCUGAUUCACUCAAUGGAAAUAGUUUAAGUCUGGAACUGAUUGGAAUGGCUUUCAAAUAAGAUACUAUGGAAUCAGACUUCCUUUGAGUAAAGUUUGUAUCUAACAUAUAAGCUCAAAGAAUCCUUAGAAACAUCUUGACAUGAAGCUCUUACAUAUUUUUGGAUCACAGGUCCCAGUGUGAAACUCACGUGAAGAAUGAGCAACAAACUCUUCUAGAACAUCUAGAACCAGGGACAUACUGUUCUAUGUUUUUAAUUGCCUAUAAGCAUGAUUUUCUGACACCUAGUUUCUGCAUGAAAUUGGAGGUGUUCUAGGUCCCAAACAUCUUUCUCUGAGAUUAUCAGUCUUAAAAAAAAAAAAAAAAACAAGCUGCACCCUUUUCUAGGUCUCUGAUUUAAAUUUUACUGCAUAUAAUGGUCACAUAGAUUUCUUCACUGUGACCACCCUGAAAUACAAGAUAGGUGCUGGCAGGAACAAUGUGACAGUACUUGGCUAUACAUUAUGAGAAGGGAAAAUGUAUUAGUGACUUGUAUAUACCAAGGAAACACAUCUGUGUGUAAUCCUGUCAAGAUGGCAUCUCAAUAUAGUGUUACUGUUUUGAUGUUGUUUGCUAGAGCACUUGGCAAGCAACAACAUACUCACCAAUCAAGGUUAGCUGGGUGCAAACUGUAUUUCUGUUCCUCAUCUGUUUAUACCACAUUCUUGCCCGUGUCUCUUCCUUUCUGCCUCCUGUUACUGCUUCCUUCUGUCCUGCUGCCUGGCCACAGUAGGCUCAGCACUGAAAUACUAUUUUAUUCUCUUUUCAGAUAACCAGUGUGACUCUUUCCUAGUCUCUGUCCAUACUCCUUCAGUGCAACCCUUUAGUCAUCCACCAUGGGGAGAUACUGAUUUCUAGCUAUUUUGAUUUCCAGGUGCUGAGAAGC